GGCCCGUUAGUCUAGUGGUAUGAUACUCGCUUUGGGUGUGAGUAGCCCCGGGUUCAAAUCCCGGACGGGCCG